CGGAAUGACUUAUAUAGUUUAAAUAUGUCUACAGAUAGUCAAAGCGCUUUUAAAAUCAACAAAAAGUAUGAUUUGUUGUGUGAUGGAGUAUGUUUUUGAAGAGGGGGCGGAACGAGCGGGAGGCGGCCCGUUGUCGUGAUAAGGAUAAGAAGAGGGGGCGACAGCUGUCACUCAGUUCAACUGUGAUUUUUGAGCUAUCAUUUUUAUUUUUAUUUCCGUCUCAGGUCAAAAGAGACGCCGAGAGUCAAAAAUCGCAUUUCACGCCGUCAGGCGAAAUCGGGUUUGUUCGAGAUUUGAAAAAAUAAAGUCGAGCCCGUACGUCACGAGCGUCAGCUUUUCGACCGAAACCGGUCAUGUUUACGUAAUUAGACGGCGCGAGCCCGCUGAUGGCUCUUUUGAAAUUAAUCUCACUCAGAGUCGGAAUCGUCGAAUAGGGGGAAAAAACGAAAAAUAAGCGGCGAGGCGGAAUUGGAAAUCGAGGCCGGGGAAGAAAGUGGGGAAGGCUUGGAAAGCGGGCGAUGACUGCGGCUUUUCGUCUCGGCCUUUUAGGUUAGAGCCGACGGCCGACGGCGAAGAAGGAAUCUCCUGAGCGCCGGUUUUCCCUCUUUUCUCCUGCACCAUGUUGACAUUCGACUGCGUGGCGCUCGGGAACACGGCGACGUGAUAUGACUGAGCAGACGAUCAAAGAGUGGCUGGCGGAUUGUGCGGCUCUCACUCCGGACGAGAUUCACUCCUUCGCGAGCACGGUUCACCACAAUUCCGAAGUCAUCAACGCGAUUUUGACCGUCCUCGACGACAGGCAGAAAUACAAUGAUCUCGUUGACAAGGUGUGCUCCACACUGUUCUCCUUGUACCGCUCGAAGGAGAUUGAGCUCAAGAGGUUCACCCUUGGUUUUCUACCUACACUUAUUUACGUUUACUUAAACGCCGUAGCCCAUGGGGAGAAAAAGAGCUGCCUUGGAAUCGAAGCGCUUCUUAUCGGUCUCUACAACUCUGAAUCAGUCAACGAUUAUGGAGAAGCCCAAGUCAUAUCUUUUCGUCUUCCAUCCCUAGCGCAAGCAUCUGUUUAUCAUGAGCCCAUGAGCCUAGCGCCGGCGUCUCUGACGGAAAGUGCGUUGCGGCGUCUCGAACUGUGCAAUACCAAACUGGUCAAGUGGGGUCCGCUACCGCAGUUGGAACGGAUAAUCCCGCAGAACCGGUUGUCUGUCAUGACUGCCCUACUUUUUAUUUACAACCAGCACAUAAGCUGCCUUCAGAAAUCUUCUCUAGACCAGCUCUGCAAAGUUUCAUCGAAAUUAGUGACACAAGGAUUUAAUAAACCUGGCAAGAGGGUCUCAUAUAGCAGUGAUGUGCCAAGGGUUCUACCAAGGAUACCAGUUACCGGAAAAUUUCUUCUUGAGAUUCUUCACAGUUUAUAUUAUUCAAUUUUUAAUGGUGAUAGUGUGUUGGCUCUGCAAGCAGUAGAAGAGGUCCACCAGAGGGCUUGCUAUCAGAGUUAUACCGAUGUUAUGUUAGUUUCAAAUGCCAUCAAAAACAGCCGUGCCACUUACACUGGUCAAAUAACGGAAAACCCGAUGGGUAUCAGUCUUGCCAUAUCGCCAGCAGUGACGACAUCGGCCGUAAUCUCUAAAUCGAUGAUAACCAACGCCUCGUUCCGGACGAAGAAACUGCCAGAUGAACCGCCUAGAAAAAAAAAGAAGACAGGGUUAAAAACAGACUAUGAAUGACAUUCCCAUACAAAUCAACCGAGGCGAGGGAGAAGGCUUGGGAUCGAUCAGCGAGGAGAAGGAGGACGGAGGUGGCGACAUUGGCAGCGGCCCCACACGCCGUAGUCUACCGAAAAUGGCCGUCAACUUCGGAAAGAAGACCCGAGAACGGCUGAGCAAAGGGAAGCUGCGAACGGUGAACGGCGGCGACGCUUGGGAGAGCAGCGACCAUACUGAACCGGACGUCGAAACCGCCCUCCUCACGACUGAAGUAGAGACGAAGCCAUCAAACAAUGGGUCGACACCUCACGAAGUGGACGGGAGGACGAUGCAGGUCAGCUCGGUUUGAUUUAGGAAUUAUAGUAUUGACAGAGCCCAAUAUGAACAAACCUUUCCUAGGAAAUUAACCUACCAGUAGUCUUGCAUUAACAUGGAAUCCCUCCUUGUCGUUUUGUACACUUGUCACAAUAAAUGUUCUUUCAUUCACCAUCAUCAUUAAAAUCAGAUUUACAAAAAAAAGUAAAAAGAAGAAAAAUGAAAAAAAAAGAUAUAAAUAUGUUUCUUUUAUUACCUUAAAUUUUUUGAAUCGUUAGUAAUUUUAAAUCAAAGGCCUAAAACAUCAGUGUGAGAAAGGUUUACAAAACUGGCGCGUGUCAGAAAAAAUGAAUAAGAAUAAAACCGGAUAUGCUCUUAAGCGUUUUAAUUUGACAACAGCGAAUUAUAAAUGAUUAGCACUCAGUAAUUUAAAAAAAAGAUUAAAAGUGUGUAGAUCUUUCCAUAAGCAUGUAGCCAUUCAUGUUCAGUAACGUUGUAGCUAUCAAUUGUUAUUCCCAUUUAUUUGGGGCUGUAUAAUAAAUAUUGUUAUAAAUUGAAAGAGAUUUAAUGUGUCUUAAUAAAAUUUAUUAUGCAAAAAAUAGGUUUAAGGUUUAAAAAAAACUUAAUUAUACGCAGCAAUUGUUUAAAUAAUUGUGGAUUUGAAAAAUCACUGGUGGGUUACAUAUCUUAUAAGCAAAUUGUGAAAACAGGGUGGUCACUAUUUUAUUUAAUAUUAUUAAAGUGGAAAUGAGGCAAAAAAAUAAUCAUCAGCGAUCAGCAUUAUUUGUACAUUUACAGUGUACAUUGUUGUUGCAUGGAAAUAUUUUAAACAGAAAGUUGCAUUUGUCAUGAAAUGCAUUUUAACCAAAUUGAAAAAAAGUCUUCUUAUAUCAUAAGAAAUUCAGAUAAUAAUAAGGGUAAAGUUAUUUUUAAAACUCGAGCUUGAUCUUUUGGCAUAAAUUUCACUCUGUGCGUCAAGUAUUCGUCAAUUAUGAAAUCGGAUAAAUUCGUCAGAUUGCUCAAACUCAAUUUAAUUGAUAUUAUUGAGAUUUUACAGUAAUAAAACAAUAAUAGGCUUACGGAAAUACUUUGCAUUUGUAAAUUUACAAAUCGAUGAAUGCGAUGAAUCGAAACAAUGCUUCAAGCAUUGGAAGGAUACUCGAUCGAGAACCCCUUCAGUGUAGGGACUCUUAAGUACAGGAAGUACAGCAUCAUACAGAAUUUUGUAUGACUCCAUAUGCAAGAGUCAAAUUUCAUUAUAAAGCUUCCUGAUUUCUGUUACAAUUUUAGCCUUUUCUUUUGGACGCUUUGUUCUUUCAGGAGUCAUUAAAAAAAAAAAAAAAAUGUC